GCGGGAAUAGCUCAGUUGGUAGAGCAUCACCUUGCCAAGGUGAGGGUCGCCGGUUCGAGUCCGGUUUCCCGCU
rnacentral:tRNA from 3 species